UGGGGAAUUUUGGACAAUGGGCGAAAGCCUGAUCCAGCAAUGCCGCGUGUGUGAAGAAGGCCUUCGGGUUGUAAAGCACUUUUGUCCGGAAAGAAAUCCUCUGGGGUUAAUACCCUCGGGGGGAUGACGGUACCGGAAGAAUAAGCACCGGCUAACUACGUGCCAGCAGCCGCGGUAAUACGUAGGGUGCAAGCGUUAAUCGGAAUUACUGGGCGUAAAGCGUGCGCAGGCGGUUUUUGUAAGACGGAUGUGAAAUCCCCGGGCUUAACCUGGGAACUGCAUUCGUGACUGCAAGGCUAGAGUAUGGCAGAGGGGGGUAGAAUUCCACGUGUAGCAGUGAAAUGCGUAGAGAUGUGGAGGAAUACCGAUGGCGAAGGCAGCCCCCUGGGCCAAUACUGACGCUCAUGCACGAAAGCGUGGGGAGCAAACAGGAUUAGAUACCCUGGUAGUCCACGCCCUAAACGAUGUCAACUAGUUGUUGGGGAUUCAUUUCCUUAGUAACGUAGCUAACGCGUGAAGUUGACCGCCUGGGGAGUACGGUCGCAAGAUUAAAACUUUAAAUGAAUUGACGGGGUCAUAGCUGUUU
rnacentral:rRNA from 1 species